GCCCUUGUAGCUCAGUUGGUAGAGCGCAUCCUUGGUAAGGAUGAGGUCAGCGGUUCAAGUCCGCUCAAGGGCU
rnacentral:tRNA from 1 species